CAUAUCUCCCCACAUUCUCCUACCCAUCCCCCCUCUUUGCGUGUUUCGCUAUUAUUUUUCUUCUAUUGUGGCCCUCUUCUCCUGAAUUCAUAUCUAGGGUUAUUGUGUUUUGUGGUGCGAUUUCGUUGGCGAUUAAGUUUUGUGUUUUCGAUCGGGUUACUCUCUCCUUGUGUUGCGAUUUCCAUUAACCUUCCCUGUCUGGUAUGACAUAUGGCGGCGAGGAUAGAUGACCUAGCGGAGGAUUUCUGUUCAAUCUACUUUGACGUGUUUGAUUUGUGUAGAUCGGUUAUUGUGAUUCCUUCUGCUGAUUUGGGUUAAUAUUCAGUUAUUCGCAACGAGUGCAGAUUUUAUAGUUCAAGUUUUGACGGUCUAUUUAGAUCAUGAUUUCCUCUGCCGUAUUGGUUAUCGGGGCUUACUUUCGUUUGUAUCUGUAGGGCAACCGAUUGGAUAGCUCGUGAUCUCUCAAGCCAGAAGGUUUAUUUUGUCCUUUUCCUUUCGCGCUGAUAGUUUGAUGGUUAUCGGCAGUUGGUGGAAACGCUGAUAGUUAUGAAUUUACUCAAUCGUUCUCUUCUCUGGCCACAGAUUAAUCGCUGGUGAGGAGCCUCAAGAUCAUCAUGAUGAAUUUAUGUUUUCUGCCUCACCCUAUGACAGGAGAUAAAAAUUAUGUUUUGAUUCUAUCAAAUUAGGAACUUAUGGUGGUGCUAAUCUUGGUCUGGUUGUUGGCCACGGACCAACAUUUGACGCUGACAAAUUGAUAUCGUGUUUUUAUCAAGGGUUGCAGAGGAAGUAUAGUAUAGUAAUUUUUUUACAACAUUUUAUCCUCUACCUAGACUUGCCCCCGUGCUUACCGUUCUCAUCAAUUUUCAGAUGCUUGAUCGCUCUGAGCUUCUUAAUCUAGCUUCACUGGAAGGCUGUUCUGGUUUGAUAAUUGGUUACCUUUGCUCUCUUUAUUUUAGUUCUUUUGUUGUUAUGUAGACUCGAUAUUGUUUUGGGCCUCACUCUGUGACAGGAGAUACAAAAUAGGUUUUGAUUCUAUCACAAUAGGAGCUUAAUGUGGGGGCUAUCUUGGUCUGGUUUUUGGACACGGAAAAAUCUUUGAUGCUGUCAUUGGUAUAUUGUUAAUCAAGGGUGGCAAUAGGAAGAGUACAUGGAGUAGUAUUUUUUUUCUACUACAUUUUCUCUUCUACCUAAAGUUUCCCGUGCUUAUAGUUAUACUCUUCAAUCUCCAGAUGUCUGAUGAUUCGUUGUGUGGUUCAGUGGUUCUUAACUGGAAGGCACUUCUGGUUUGAUGCUUGGUUAUCUUUUGUCAGUUUCAACAAUUUUUUGUUUGUUACGUAGACGUGGAUAUUGUUUUCUGCCUCACCCUAUGACAGGAGAUAAAAAUUAAGUAUUAAAAGAAGGAGCUUAAGGUGGGGCUAAUCUGGUUAUCGGAAGAUAAACCUUUGACGCUGUUAAUUAUCGAGUGUGGCAGAGGGAGUAUCGAAUAGUAUUUUUUUUUACAACAUUUUAUCUUCUCCCUAGACUAUCGCGUGCUUACUGUUGUUCUCAUCAAUUUGCAGAUGCCUGAUCUCUGUGUGGUUCUUAAUCAAGCUUCACGGGAAGGCUGGUUUGAUAAUUGGUUACGUUUGCUCUGUAAAUGUAGUUUUUGUGUUGUUAUGUUGACUUGGAUAUUGUUUUGGGCCUCACCCUGUUACAGGAGAUACAAAAUAGGUUUUAAUUCUAUCAAAGUAGGAGUUCUAAGUUGGGGCUAUCUUGGUUGGGUUUUUGGACAUGGACUAAUCUAUGAUGCCGGCAUUGAUAUAGUGUUUAUUGAGGGAGGCAGAUGGAGAACAGAAUAGCAUUUUAUCUUCUACAUAUUCUAUUCUACCCAGAGUUUCUGGUUCUUAUCGUUAUACUCUCCAAUUCCCAGGUGUCUGGUCGUUGUGUGGUUCUUAACUUGAAGACACUUCUGGUUUGAUGCUUGGUUCUCUUUUUCAUCAGUUUUUUGUUUGCUACGUAGACGUGGAUAUUGUUUUCUCCUCAUCCUAUGGCAGGAGAUAAAAUUUAAGUUUUGAUUUUAUCAAAGUAGGGAGCAUAAGGUGGGGCUAAUCUUGGUCAAGUUAUUGGACACAGAUCAAACCUUUCACGCUGUCUCUGAUAUAGGUUUUAUCCAGGGUAGCAGAGGGAGUAUUUUAUAGUAAUUUUUUCUACUAAAAUUUAUCUUCCACCUAGACUUUCUCAUACUUAUCUUUAUUCUCUUCAAUUUUCAGAUGCUUGAUUGUUGUGUGGUUUUUAAUCAAGCUUAAAUGGAAGGCAGUUCUGGUUUGAUAAUUGGUUACCCUUGCUCUUUCUAUUAUAGUUAUUUUGUUGUUAUGUAGACUUGGAUAUUGAUUUGGCCCUCACCCUAUGACAGGAGAUACAAAAUAGGUUUUGAUACCAUCGCAAUAGGAGCUUAAUGUGGGGGCUAUCUUGGUCUGGUUUUUGGACACGGAAAAAUCUUUGAUAUUGUCAAUUGAUAUGUUGUUAAUCGAGGGUUGCAAAGGGAGUACAUAAUAGUUAUUUUUUCCUACUACAUUUUCUCUUCUAGCUAGAGUUUCCCGUGCUUAUAAUUAUACUCUUCAAUUUCCAGAUGUCUGAUCGUUGUCUGGUUCUUAACCGGAAGGCACUUCUGGUUUGAUGCUUGGUUAUCUUUUGUCAGUUUCAACAAUUUUUUUGUUUGUUACGUAGACGUGGGUAUUGUUUUCUGCCUCACCCUAUGACAGGAGGUAAAAAUUAAGUAUUGAAAGAAGGAGCUUAAGGUGGGGCUAUUCUUGGUCUGGUUAUUGGACACGGAUCAACCUUUGACGCUGUCAUUAAAAUAGUAAUUAUCAAGUGUGGCAGAGGGAGUAUAGUAUAGUAUUUUUUUUACAACAUUUUAUCUUCUCCCUAGACUUUCCCGUGCUUACUGUUGUUUUCAUCAAUUUGCAGAUGCCUGAUCUCUGUGUGGUUCUUAAAUCAAGCUUCACGGGAAGGCUGGUUUGAUAAUUGGUUACGUUUGCUCUGUAAAUGUAGUUUUUGUGUUGUUAUGUUGACUUGGAUAUUGAUUCUAUCAAAGUAGGAGAGACAAAAUAGGUUUUGAUUCUAUCAAAGUAGGAGCUUUAAGGUGGGGCUAUCUUGGUUGGGUUUUUGGACUUGGACUAAUCUAUGAUGCCGGUUCAGGUUCUUAUCAUUAUACUCUCCGAUUUCCAGGUGUAUGGUCGUUGUGUGGUUCUUAGCUUGAAGGCACUUCUGGUUUGAUGCUUGGUUAUCUUUUGUCAGUUUCACCAAAUUUUUGUUUGUUAUGUAGAUGUGGAUAUUGUUUUCUGCCUCACCUUGUGACAGGAGUUAAAAGUUAAGUUGGGAAAGAAGGAGCUUAUGGUUGGGCUAAUCCUGAUCUAGUUAGUGGAGACAUAUCAACUUUUGACGCUGUCACUGAUAUAGUGUUUAUCGAGGGUGGUAGAGGGACUGAGGGAGUAUAGUAUAGUAUUUUUUCUACUACAAUUUAUCUUCCACCUAGACUUUCCCGUGCUUAUCAUUAUUCUCUUCAAUUUCCGGAUGCCUUAUCUUUGAGUGGUUCUUAAUCAAGCUUAACUAGAAGGCAGUUCGGGUUUGGUAAUUGGUUACCUUUGCUAUUAUAGUUAUAGUUAUUUUGUUGUUAUGUAGACUUAGAUGUUGUUUUCGGCCUAACCCUGUGACAGGAGAUACAAAAUAGGUUUUGAUUCUAUCAAAUUAGGAGCUUAAGGUGGGGGCUAUCUUGGUCGGGUUUUUGGACACGGACUAAUCUAUGAUGGAGUACAGAAUAGUAUUUUUUCUUUAUGUUUUCUCUUCUACCUGGAGUUUCCCUUACUUAUCGUUAGACUCUUCAAUUUCCAGGUGUUCUUAACUUGAAGGCACUUGUGGUUUGAUGCUUGGUUUAUCUUUCCUCUCUUUCAUGUAUUUUCUGUUUGUUAUGCAUACGUGUAUAUUGUCUUUCUGCCUCAUCCUAUGGCAGGAGAUAAGAAAUUUGUUUUGAUUUUUUCAAAGUAGGAGCUUAAGGUGGGGCUAAUCUUGGUCUAGUUAUUGGAGACAUAUCAACUUUUGACGCUGUCACUGAUAUAGUGUAUAUCGAGGGUGGCAGAGGGAUUAUACUAUAGUAUUUUUUCUACCACAAUUUAUCUUCCAUCUAGACUUUCCCGUGCUUAUUGUUGUUAUUCUCUCCAAUUUUCAGAUGCCUGAUCGUUUUUUGGUUCUUAAUCAAGCUUAACUGGAAGGCAGUUCGGGUUUGACGAUUGGUUACCUUUGCUCUCUCUCUAUUAUAGUUCUUUUGUUGUUAUGUUGACUUGUAUGUUCUGAUUCUAUCAAAGUAGGAACUUAAGGUGGGGGCUUUCUUGGUCUGGUUUUUGGACACAGACAAAUCUUUAAUGUUGUUAUUGAUAUAGUGUUAAUCGUGCGUGGAAAAGGGAGUACAUAAUAGUUUUUUUUUCUACCACGUUUUCUCUUGUACCUAGAGUUUGCCUUGCUUACCGUUGUUCUCAUCAAUUUCCAGAUGCCUGAUCGCUGGGUGGUUCUUAAUCAAGCUUCACGGGAAGGCUUUUCUGCUUUAAUAAUUGGUCACCUUUGCUCUGUAAUUAUAGUUUAUUUGUUGUUAUGUGGACUUGGAUAUUGUUUUGGGCCUCACCCUGUGACAGGAGACAAUAUAAAUUUUAUUCUAUCAAAUUAGUAUCUUGGUCUGGUUUUUGGAUACGGACUAAUCUUUGAUGCCGUCAUUGAUAUAAUGUUUGUUGAGGGUGGCACAUGGAGUGCAGAAUAGUAUUUUUCCUUUUACGUUUUCUCUUCUACCUUGAGUUUCCCGUACUUAUUGUUAAUACUCUUCAAUUUCUAGGUGUUCAUAACUUGAAGGCACUUCUGGUUUGAGGCUUGGUUUUGUCUUUUCUCUCUUUCAUCAGUAUUUUGUUUGUUACGCAUACGAGUAUGUUAUCAAUAUAGGUGUUUAAGGUGGUGCUAAUCUUGGUCUAGUUAUUGGCCACAGAUCAACCUUUGACGCUGUCAAUUAUAUAGUGUUCAUUGAGGGUGUCAAGAGGGAGUAUAGUUUAGUAUUUUUUCUACUACAAUUUAUCUUUCAUCUAGACUUUCCCGUGUUUAUUCUUAUUCUCUCCAAUUUUCAGAUGCCUGAUUUUGUUGUGUGGCUCUUAAUCAAGCUUAACUGGAAGGCAGUUCUGGUUUUAUGUUUGGUUGCAUUUGCUCUCUCUAUUAUAGUUCUUUUGUUGUUAUGUAGACUCGGAUAUUGUUUUGGGCCUCACCCUGUGACAGUUUUUUGUUGUUGUUACGCAUACGUGUGUGUUAUCAAUGUAGGUGCUUAAGGUGGUGCAAGUCUUGGUCUAGUUAUUGGCCACAGAUCAACCUUUGACGCUGUCAAUUAUAUAGUGUUAGAGGGAGUAUAGUAAUUUUUCUACUACAAUUUAUCUUUCAUCUAGACUUUCCCGUGCUUAUUCUUAUUCUCUCCAACUUUCAGAUGCCUGAUUUUGUUGUGGUUCUUAAUCAUGCUUAACAGGAAGGCAGUUCUGGUUUUAUGAUUGGUUGCAUUUGCUCUCUAUUAUGGUUCUUUUGUUGUUAUGUAGACUCGGAUAUUGUUUUGGGCCUCACCCUGUAACAGGAGAUACAAAAUAGGUUUUGGCUCUAUCACUGUAAGAGAUUAAUGUGGGGCUAUCUUGGUCUGGUUUUUGGACGCGGACAAAUCUUCGAUGCUGUCAUUGAUAUUGUGUUAAUCGAGGGUGGCAAAGGGAGUACAUAAUAGUAUUUUUUUUUUUACUACAUUUUCUCUUAUACCAAGAAUUUCCCGUGCUUAUAGAUAUACUCUUCAAUUUCCAGAUGCCUGAUCGAUGUGUGGUUCUUAACUGGAAGGCACUUCUGUUUGAUGCUUGGUUAUCUUUUGUCAGUUUCAACAAUCUUUUGUUUGUUACAUAGACGUGGAUAUUGUUUUCUGCCUCACCUUGUGACAGGAGUUAAAAAUUAAGUUGUGAAAGAAGCAGCUUAUGGUGGGGCUAAUCUUGGUCUAGUUAUUGGAGACGUAUCAACUUUUGAUGCUGUCACUGAUAUAAUGUUUAUCGAGGGUGUCAGAGGGAGUAUAGUAUUGUAUUAAUUCUGCUACAAUUUAUCUUCCAUCUUGACUUUCCCGUGCUUAUUGUUAUUCUCUUUGAUUUCCAGAUGCCUGAUCGUUGUGUGGUUCUUAAUCAAGCUUAACUGGAAGGCAGUUCUGGGUUCAUAAUUGGUUGCAUUUGAUCUCUCUAUUAUAUUUCUUUUGUUGUUAUAUAGACUUGGAUAUUGUUUUGGGCCUACCCUGUGACAGGAGAUACAAAAUAGGUUUUGAUUCCAUCACUGUAGGAGCUUAAUGUGGGGGCUAUCUUGGUCUGGUUUUUGGACGCGGACAGAUCUUUGAUGUAGUCAUUGAUAUUGUGUUAAUUGAGGGUGGCAAAGGGAGUACAUAAUAGUAUUUUUAUUUCUACUACAUUUUCUCUUCUACCUAGAGUUUCCCGUGCUUAUAGAUAUACUCUUCAAUUUCCAGAUGUCUGAUCGUGGGGUGGUUCUUAACUGGAUGACACUUCUGGUUUGAUAUUUGGUUAUCUUUUGUCACUUUCAACAAUUUUUGUUUGCUACAUAGACGUGGAUAUUGUUUUCUGCCCCACCCUAUGACAUGAGAUAAAAAUUAAGUUUUAAUUUUAUCAAAGUAGGAGCUUAAGGUAGGGCUAAUCUUAGUCAAGUUAUUGCACACAAGUCAAUCCUUUGACGUGGUCACUGAUAUAGUGUGUUUGUCGAGGGUGGCAGAGGGAGUAUAGUAUAGUAUUUCUUCUAAUACAAUUUAUCUUCCAUCUAGACCUUCCGGUGCUUAUCGUUACUCUUCCAUUUCCAGAUGCCCAAUCGUUGUGUGGUUCUUAAUCAAGCUUAACUGGACGGCAGUUCGGGUUUGAUAGAUGUCUGAUUGUUGUGUGGUUCUUAACUGGAAGGCACUUCUGGUAUGCUUGGUUAUCUUUUGUCAGUUUCAACAAUCUUUUAUUUGUUACGUAGACGUGGAUAUUGUUUUCUGCCUCACCUUGUGACAGGAGUUAAAAAUUAAGUUGUGAAAGAAGCAGCUUAUGGUGGGGCUAAUCUUGGUCUAGUUACUGGAGACAUAUCAACCUUUGAUGCUGUCACUGAUAUAAUGUUUAUCGAGGGUGUCAGAGGGAGUAUAGUAUUGUAUUAAUUCUGCUACAAUUUAUCUUCCAUCUUGACUUUCCCGUGCUUAUUGUUAUUCUCUUCGAUUUCCAGAUGCCUGAUCGUUGUUUGGUUCUUAAUCAAGCUUAACUGGAAGGCAGUUCUGGGUUCAUAAUUGGUUGCAUUUGAUCUCUCUAUUAUAUUUCUUUUGUUGUUAUAUAGACUUGGAUAUUGUUUUGGGCCUACCCUGUGACAGGAGAUACAAAAUAGGUUUUGAUUCCAUCACUGUAGGAGCUUAAUGUGGGGGCUAUCUUGGUCUGGUUUUUGGACGCGGACAGAUCUUUGAUGUAAGUCAUUGAUAUUGUGUUAAUCGAGGGUGGCAAAGGGAGUACAUAAUAGUAUUUUUAUUUCUACUACAUUUUCUCUUCUACCUAGAGUUUCCCGUGCUUAUAGAUAUACUCUUCAAUUUCCAGAUGUCUGAUCGUGGGGUGGUUCUUAACUGGAUGACACUUCUGGUUUGAUGUUUGGUUAUCUUUUGUCACUUUCAACAAUUUUUGUUUGCUACAUAGACGUGGAUAUUGUUUUCUGCCCCACCCUAUGACAUGAGAUAAAAAUUAAGUUUUAAUUUUAUCAAAGUAGGAGCUUAAGGUAGGGCUAAUCUUAGUCAAGUUAUUGCACACAAGUCAAUCCUUUGACGUGGUCACUGAUAUAGUGUUUAUCGAGGGUGGCAGAGGGAGUAUAGUAUAGUAUUUCUUCUACUACAAUUUAUCUUCCACCUAGACCUUCCGGUGCUUAUCGUUAUUCUCUUCCAUUUCCAGAUGCCCGAUCGUUGUGUGAUUCUUAAUCAAGCUUAACUGGACGGCAGUUCGGGUUUGAUAGGUGGUUACCUUUGCUCUCUCUAUUGUAGUUCUUUUGUUGUUAUUUAGACUCGGAUGUUGGUUUCAGCCUCACCCUGUGAUAGGAGAUACAAAAUAGGUUCUGAUUCUAUCAAAGUAGGAGCUUAAGGUGGGGGCUGUCUUGGUCUGGUUUUUGGACACUGACAAAUCCUUCAUGCUGUCAUUGAUAUAGUGUUAAUAGUGGGUGAUGUCUGAUUGUUGUGUGGUUCUUAACUGGAAGGCACUUCUGGUAUGCUUGGUUAUCUUUUGUCAGUUUCAACAAUCUUUUAUUUGUUACGUAGACGUGGAUAUUGUUUUCUGCCUCACCUUGUGACAGGAGUUAAAAAUUAAGUUGUGAAAGAAGCAGCUUAUGGUGGGGCUAAUCUUGGUCUAGUUACUGGAGACAUAUCAACCUUUGAUGCUGUCACUGAUAUAAUGUUUAUCGAGGGUGUCAGAGGGAGUAUAGUAUUGUAUUAAUUCUGCUACAAUUUAUCUUCCAUCUUGACUUUCCCGUGCUUAUUGUUAUUCUCUUCGAUUUCCAGAUGCCUGAUCGUUGUUUGGUUCUUAAUCAAGCUUAACUGGAAGGCAGUUCUGGGUUCAUAAUUGGUUGCAUUUGAUCUCUCUAUUAUAUUUCUUUUGUUGUUAUAUAGACUUGGAUAUUGUUUUGGGCCUACCCUGUGACAGGAGAUACAAAAUAGGUUUUGAUUCCAUCACUGUAGGAGCUUAAUGUGGGGGCUAUCUUGGUCUGGUUUUUGGACGCGGACAGAUCUUUGAUGAAGUCAUUGAUAUUGUGUUAAUCUAGGGUGGCAAAGGGAGUACAUAAUAGUAUUUUUAUUUCUACUACAUUUUCUCUUCUACCUAGAGUUUCCCGUGCUUAUAGAUAUACUCUUCAAUUUCCAGAUGUCUGAUCGUGGGGUGGUUCUUAACUGGAUGACACUUCUGGUUUGAUGUUUGGUUAUCUUUUGUCAGUUUCAACAAUUUUCGUUUGUUACAUAGACGUGGAUAUUGUUUUCUGCCCCACCCUAAUUUUAUCAAAGUAGGAGCUUAAGGUAGGGCUAAUCUUAGUCAAGUUAUUGCACACAAGUCAAUCCUUUGACGUGGUCACUCUUAUAGUGUGUUUAUCGAGGGUGGCAGAGGGAGUAUAGUAUAGUAUUUCUUCUAAUACAAUUUAAUUUCCAUCUAGACCUUCCGGUGCUUAUCGUUAUUCUCUUCCAUUUCCAGAUGCCCGAUCGUUGUGUGGUUCUAAAUCAAGCUUAACUGGACGGCAGUUCGGGUUUGAUAGUUGGUUACCUUUGCUCUCUCUAUUGUAGUUCUUUUGUUGUUAUUUAGACUCGGAUGUUGGUUUCAGCCUCACCCUGUGAUAGGAGAUACAAAAUAGGUUCUGAUUCUAUCAAAGUAGGACCUUAAGGUGGGGGCUGUCUUGGUCUGGUUUUUGGACGCGGACAGAUCUUUGAUGUAGUCAUUGAUAUUGUGUUAAUCGAGGGUGGCAAAGGGAGUACAUAAUAGUAUUUUUAUUUCUACUACAUUUUCUCUUCUACCUAGAGUUUCCCGUGCUAAUAGUUAUACUCUUCAAUUUCCAGAUGUCUGAUUGUUGUGUGGUUCUUAACUGGAAGGCACUUCUGGUAUGCUUGGUUAUCUUUUGUCAGUUUCAACAAUCUUUUAUUUGUUACGUAGACGUGGAUAUUGUUUUCUGCCUCACCUUGUGACAGGGGUUAAAAAUUAAGUUGUGAAAGAAGCAGCUUAUGGUGGGGCUAAUCUUGGUCUAGUUAUUGGAGACGGAUCAACUUUUGAUGCUGUCACUGAUAUAAUGUUUAUCGAGGGUGUCAGAGGGAGUAUAGUAUUGUAUUAAUUCUGCUACAAUUUAUCUUCCAUCUUGACUUUCCCGUGCUUAUUGUUAUUCUCUUUGAUUUCCAGAUGCCUGAUCGUUGUGUGGUUCUUAAUCAAGCUUAACUGGAAGGCAGUUCUGGGUUCAUAAUUGGUUGCAUUUGAUCUCUCUAUUAUAUUUCUUUUGUUGUUAUAUAGACUUGGAUAUUGUUUUGGGCCUACCCUGUGACAGGAGAUACAAAAUAGGUUUUGAUUCCAUCACUGUAGGAGCUUAAUGUGGGGGCUAUCUUGGUCUGGUUUUUGGACGCGGACAGAUCUUUGAUGUAGUCAUUGAUAUUGUGUUAAUCGAGGGUGGCAAAGGGAGUACAUAAUAGUAUUUUUAUUUCUACUACAUUUUCUCUUCUACCUAGAGUUUCCCGUGCUUAUAGAUAUACUCUUCAAUUUCCAGAUGUCUGAUCGUGGGGUGGUUCUUAACUGGAUGACACUUCUGGUUUGAUGUUUGGUUAUCUUUUGUCACUUUCAACAAUUUUUGUUUGCUACAUAGACGUGGAUAUUGUUUUCUGCCCCACCCUAUGACAUGAGAUAAAAAUUAAGUUUUAAUUUUAUCAAAGUAGGAGCUUAAGGUAGGGCUAAUCUUAGUCAAGUUAUUGCACACAAGUCAAUCCUUUGACGUGGUCACUGAUAUAGUGUGUUUAUCGAGGGUGGCAGAGGGAGUAUAGUAUAGUAUUUCUUCUAAUACAAUUUAUCUUCCAUCUAGACCUUCCGGUGCUUAUCGUUAUUCUCUUCCAUUUCCAGAUGCCCGAUCGUUGUGUGGUUCUUAAUCAAGCUUAACUGGACGGCAGUUCGGGUUUGAUAGUUGGUUACCUUUGCUCUCUCUAUUGUAGUUCUUUUGUUGUUAUUUAGACUCGGAUGUUGGUUUCAGCCUCACCCUGUGAUAGGAGAUACAAAAUAGGUUCUGAUUCUAUCAAAGUAGGAGCUUAAGGUGGGGGCUGUCUUGGUCUGGUUUUUGGACACUGACAAAUCCUUCAUGCUGUCAUUGAUAUAGUGUUAAUAGUGGGUGGUAAAGGGAGUACAUAAUAGUAUUUUUUUUCUACCACAUUUUCUCUUCUACCUAGAGUUUCCCGUGCUAAUAGUUAUACUCUUCAAUUUCCAGAUGUCUGAUUGUUGUGUGGUUAUUAACUGGAAGGCACUUCUGGUAUGCUUGAUUAUCUUUUGUCAGUUUCAACAAUCUUUUAUUUGUUACGUAGACGUGGAUAUUGUUUUCUGCCUCACCUUGUGACAGGAGUUAAAAAUUAAGUUGUGAAAGAAGCAGCUUAUGGUGGGGCUAAUCUUGGUCUAGUUACUGGAGACAUAUCAACCUUUGAUGCUGUCACUGAUAUAAUGUUUAUCGAGGGUGUCAGAGGGAGUAUAGUAUUGUAUUAAUUCUGCUACAAUUUAUCUUCCAUCUUGACUUUCCCGUGCUUAUUGUUAUUCUCUUCGAUUUCCAGAUGCCUGAUCGUUGUUUGGUUCUUAAUCAAGCUUAACUGGAAGGCAGUUCUGGGUUCAUAAUUGGUUGCAUUUGAUCUCUCUAUUAUAUUUCUUUUGUUGUUAUAUAGACUUGGAUAUUGUUUUGGGCCUACCCUGUGACAGGAGAUACAAAAUAGGUUUUGAUUCCAUCACUGUAGGAGCUUAAUGUGGGGGCUAUCUUGGUCUGGUUUUUGGACGCGGACAGAUCUUUGAUGAAGUCUUUGAUAUUGUGUUAAUCGAGGGUGGCAAAGGGAGUACAUAAUAGUAUUUUUAUUUCUACUACAUUUUCUCUUCUACCAACAAUUUCCCGUGUUUAUAGAUAUACUCUUCAAUUUCCAGAUGUCUGAUCGUUGGGUGGUUCUUAACUGGAAGACACUUCUGGUUUGAUGUUUGGUUAUCUUUUGUCAGUUUCAACAAUUUUCGUUUGUUACAUAGACGUGGAUAUUGUUUUCUGCCCCACCCUAAUUUUAUCAAAGUAGGAGCUUAAGGUAGGGCUAAUCUUAGUCAAGUUAUUGCACACAAGUCAAUCCUUUGACGUGGUCACUCAUAUAGUGUGUUUAUCGAGGGUGGCAGAGGGAGUAUAGUGUAGUAUUUCUUCUAAUACAAUUUAUCUUCCAUCUAGACCUUCCGGUGCUUAUCGUUAUUCUCUUCCAUUUCCAGAUGCCCGAUCGUUGUGUGGUUCUUAAUCAAGCUUAACUGGACGGCAGUUCGGGUUUGAUAGUUGGUUACCUUUGCUCUCUCUAUUGUAGUUCUUUUGUUGUUAUUUAGACUCGGAUGUUGGUUUCAGCCUCACCCUGUGAUAGGAGAUACAAAAUAGGUUCUGAUUCUAUCAAAGUAGGAGCUUAAGGUGGGGGCUGUCUUGGUCUGGUUUUUGGACACUGACAAAUCCUUCAUGCUGUCAUUGAUAUAGUGUUAAUAGUGGGUGGUAAAGGGAGUACAUAAUAGUAUUUUUUUUCUACCACAUUUUCUCUUCUACCUAGAGUUUCCCGUGCUAAUAGUUAUACUCUUCAAUUUCCUGAUGUCUGAUUGUGGUGUGGUUCUUAACUGGAAGGCACUUCUGGUAUGCUUGGUUAUCUUUUGUCAGUUUCAACAAUCUUUUAUUUGUUACGUAGACGUGGAUAUUGUUUUCUGCCUCACCUUGUGACAGGAGUUAAAAAUUAAGUUGUGAAAGAAGCAGCUUAUGGUGGGGCUAAUCUUGGUCUAGUUACUGGAGACAUAUCAACCUUUGAUGCUGUCACUGAUAUAAUGUUUAUCGAGGGUGUCAGAGGGAGUAUAGUAUUGUAUUAAUUCUGCUACAAUUUAUCUUCCAUCUUGACUUUCCCGUGCUUAUUGUUAUUCUCUUCGAUUUCCAGAUGCCUGAUCGUUGUUUGGUUCUUAAUCAAGCUUAACUGGAAGGCAGUUCUGGGUUCAUAAUUGGUUGCAUUUGAUCUCUCUAUUAUAUUUCUUUUGUUGUUAUAUAGACUUGGAUAUUGUUUUGGGCCUACCCUGUGACAGGAGAUACAAAAUAGGUUUUGAUUCCAUCACUGUAGGAGCUUAAUGUGGGGGCUAUCUUGGUCUGGUUUUUGGACGCGGACAGAUCUUUGAUGAAGUCUUUGAUAUUGUGUUAAUCGAGGGUGGCAAAGGGAGUACAUAAUAGUAUUUUUAUUUCUACUACAUUUUCUCUUCUACCAACAAUUUCCCGUGUUUAUAGAUAUACUCUUCAAUUUCCAGAUGUCUGAUCGUUGGGUGGUUCUUAACUGGAAGACACUUCUGGUUUGAUGUUUGGUUAUCUUUUGUCAGUUUCAACAAUUUUCGUUUGUUACAUAGACGUGGAUAUUGUUUUCUGCCCCACCCUAAUUUUAUCAAAGUAGGAGCUUAAGGUAGGGCUAAUCUUAGUCAAGUUAUUGCACACAAGUCAAUCCUUUGACGUGGUCACUCAUAUAGUGUGUUUAUCGAGGGUGGCAGAGGGAGUAUAGUGUAGUAUUUCUUCUAAUACAAUUUAUCUUCCAUCUAGACCUUCCGGUGCUUAUCGUUAUUCUCUUCCAUUUCCAGAUGCCCGAUCGUUGUGUGGUUCUUAAUCAAGCUUAACUGGACGGCAGUUCGGGUUUGAUAGUUGGUUACCUUUGCUCUCUCUAUUGUAGUUCUUUUGUUGUUAUUUAGACUCGGAUGUUGGUUUCAGCCUCACCCUGUGAUAGGAGAUACAAAAUAGGUUCUGAUUCUAUCAAAGUAGGAGCUUAAGGUGGGGGCUGUCUUGGUCUGGUUUUUGGACACUGACAAAUCCUUCAUGCUGUCAUUGAUAUAGUGUUAAUAGUGGGUGGUAAAGGGAGUACAUAAUAGUAUUUUUUUUCUACCACAUUUUCUCUUCUACCUAGAGUUUCCCGUGCUAAUAGUUAUACUCUUCAAUUUCCUGAUGUCUGAUUGUGGUGUGGUUCUUAACUGGAAGGCACUUCUGGUAUGCUUGGUUAUCUUUUGUCAGUUUCAACAAUCUUUUAUUUGUUACGUAGACGUGGAUAUUGUUUUCUGCCUCACCUUGUGACAGGGGUUAAAAAUUAAGUUGUGAAAGAAGCAGCUUAUGGUGGGGCUAAUCUUGGUCUAGUUAUUGGAGACGUAUCAACUUUUGAUGCUGUCACUGAUAUAAUGUUUAUCGAGGGUGUCAGAGGGAGUAUAGUAUUGUAUUAAUUCAGCUACAAUUUAUCUUCCAUCUUGACUUUCCCGUGCUUAUUGUUAUUCUCUUCGAUUUCCAGAUGCCUGAUCGUUGUUUGGUUCUUAAUCAAGCUUAACUGGAAGGCAGUUCUGGGUUCAUAAUUGGUUGCAUUUGAUCUCUCUAUUAUAUUUCUUUUGUUGUUAUAUAGACUUGGAUAUUGUUUUGGGCCUACCCUGUGACAGGAGAUACAAAAUAGGUUUUGAUUCCAUCACUGUAGGAGCUUAAUGUGGGGGCUAUCUUGGUCUGGUUUUUGGACGCGGACAGAUCUUUGAUGUAGUCAUUGAUAUUGUGUUAAUCGAGGGUGGCAAAGGGAGUACAUAAUAGUAUUUUUAUUUCUACUACAUUUUCUCUUCUACCAACAAUUUCCCGUGCUUAUAGAUAUACUCUUUAAUUUCCAGAUGUCUGAUCGUUGUGUGGUUCUUAACUGGAAGACACUUCUGGUUUGAUGUUUGGUUAUCUUUUGUCAGUUUCAACAAUUUUCGUUUGUUACAUAGACGUGGAUAUUGUUUUCUGCCCCACCCUAAUUUUAUCAAAGUAGGAGCUUAAGGUAGGGCUAAUCUUAGUCAAGUUAUUGCACACAAGUCAAUCCCUUGACGUGGUCACUCUUAUAGUGUGUUUAUCGAGGGUGGCAGAGGGAGUAUAGUAUAGUAUUUCUUCUAAUACAAUUUAUCUUCCAUCUAGACCUUCCGGUGCUUAUCGUUAUUCUCUUCCAUUUCCAGAUGCCCGAUCGUUGUGUGGUUCUAAAUCAAGCUUAACUGGACGGCAGUUCGGGUUUGAUAGUUGGUUACCUUUGCUCUCUCUAUUGUAGUUCUUUUGUUGUUAUUUAGACUCGGAUGUUGGUUUCAGCCUCACCCUGUGAUAGGAGAUACAAAAUAGGUUCUGAUUCUAUCAAAGUAGGACCUUAAGGUGGGGGCUGUCUUGGUCUGGUUUUUGGACGCGGACAGAUCUUUGAUGUAGUCAUUGAUAUUGUGUUAAUCGAGGGUGGCAAAGGGAGUACAUAAUAGUAUUUUUAUUUCUACUACAUUUUCUCUUCUACCUAGAGUUUCCCGUGCUAAUAGUUAUACUCUUCAAUUUCCAGAUGUCUGAUUGUUGUGUGGUUCUUAACUGGAAGGCACUUCUGGUAUGCUUGGUUAUCUUUUGUCAGUUUCAACAAUCUUUUAUUUGUUACGUAGACGUGGAUAUUGUUUUCUGCCUCACCUUGUGACAGGGGUUAAAAAUUAAGUUGUGAAAGAAGCAGCUUAUGGUGGGGCUAAUCUUGGUCUAGUUAUUGGAGACGUAUCAACUUUUGAUGCUGUCACUGAUAUAAUGUUUAUCGAGGGUGUCAGAGGGAGUAUAGUAUUGUAUUAAUUCUGCUACAAUUUAUCUUCAAUCUUGACUUUCCCGUGCUUAUUGUUAUUCUCUUUGAUUUCCAGAUGCCUGAUCGUUGUGUGGUUCUUAAUCAAGCUUAACUGGAAGGCAGUUCUGGGUUCAUAAUUGGUUGCAUUUGAUCUCUCUAUUAUAUUUCUUUUGUUGUUAUAUAGACUUGGAUAUUGUUUUGGGCCUACCUGUGACAGGAGAUACAAAAUAGGUUUUGAUUCCAUCACUGUAGGAGCUUAAUGUGGGGGCUAUCUUGGUCUGGUUUUUGGACGCGGACAGAUCUUUGAUGUAGUCAUUGAUAUUGUGUUAAUCGAGGGUGGCAAAGGGAGUACAUAAUAGUAUUUUUAUUUCUACUACAUUUUCUCUUCUACCUAGAGUUUCCCGUGCUUAUAGAUAUACUCUUCAAUUUCCAGAUGUCUGAUCGUGGGGUGGUUCUUAACUGGAUGACACUUCUGGUUUGAUGUUUGGUUAUCUUUUGUCACUUUCAACAAUUUUUGUUUGCUACAUAGACGUGGAUAUUGUUUUCUGCCCCACCCUAUGACAUGAGAUAAAAAUUAAGUUUUAAUUUUAUCAAAGUAGGAGCUUAAGGUAGGGCUAAUCUUAGUCAAGUUAUUGCACACAAGUCAAUCCUUUGACGUGGUCACUGAUAUAGUGUGUUUAUCGAGGGUGGCAGAGGGAGUAUAGUAUAGUAUUUCUUCUAAUACAAUUUAUCUUCCAUCUAGACCUUCCGGUGCUUAUCGUUAUUCUCUUCCAUUUCCAGAUGCCCGAUCGUUGUGUGGUUCUUAAUCAAGCUUAACUGGACGGCAGUUCGGGUUUGAUAGUUGGUUACCUUUGCUCUCUCUAUUGUAGUUCUUUUGUUGUUAUUUAGACUCGGAUGUUGGUUUCAGCCUCACCCUGUGAUAGGAGAUACAAAAUAGGUUCUGAUUCUAUCAAAGUAGGAGCUUAAGGUGGGGGCUGUCUUGGUCUGGUUUUUGGACACUGACAAAUCCUUCAUGCUGUCAUUGAUAUAGUGUUAAUAGUGGGUGGUAAAGGGAGUACAUAAUAGUAUUUUUUUUCUACCACAUUUUCUCUUCUACCUAGAGUUUCCCGUGCUAAUAGUUAUACUCUUCAAUUUCCUGAUGUCUGAUUGUUGUGUGGUUAUUAACUGGAAGGCACUUCUGGUAUGCUUGAUUAUCUUUUGUCAGUUUCAACAAUCUUUUAUUUGUUACGUAGACGUGGAUAUUGUUUUCUGCCUCACCUUGUGACAGGAGUUAAAAAUUAAGUUGUGAAAGAAGCAACUUAUGGUGGGGCUAAUCUUGGUCUAGUUACUGGAGACAUAUCAACCUUUGAUGCUGUCACUGAUAUAAUGUUUAUCGAGGGUGUCAGAGGGAGUAUAGUAUUGUAUUAAUUCUGCUACAAUUUAUCUUCCAUCUUGACUUUCCCGUGCUUAUUGUUAUUCUCUUCGAUUUCCAGAUGCCUGAUCGUUGUUUGGUUCUUAAUCAAGCUUAACUGGAAGGCAGUUCUGGGUUCAUAAUUGGUUGCAUUUGAUCUCUCUAUUAUAUUUUUUUUGUUGUUAUAUAGACUUGGAUAUUGUUUUGGGCCUACCCUGUGACAGGAGAUACAAAAUAGGUUUUGAUUCCAUCACUGUAGGAGCUUAAUGUGGGGGCUAUCUUGGCUAGUUUUUGGACGCGGACAGAUCUUUGAUGAAGUCUUUGAUAUUGUGUUAAUCGAGGGUGGCAAAGGGAGUACAUAAUAGUAUUUUUAUUUCUACUACAUUUUCUCUUCUACCAACAAUUUCCCGUGUUUAUAUAUAUACUCUUCAAUUUCCAGAUGUCUGAUCGUUGGGUGGUUCUUAACUGGAAGACACUUCUGGUUUGAUGUUUGGUUAUCUUUUGUCAGUUUCAACAAUUUUCGUUUGUUACAUAGACGUGGAUAUUGUUUUCUGCCCCACCCUAAUUUUAUCAAAGUAGGAGCUUAAGGUAGGGAUAAUCUUAGUCAAGUUAUUGCACACAAGUCAAUCCUUUGACGUGGUCACUGAUAUAGUGUGUUUAUCGAGGGUGGCAGAGGGAGUAUAGUAUAGUAUUUCUUGUAAUACAAUUUAUCUUCCAUCUAGACCUUCCGGUGCUUAUCGUUAUUCUCUUCCAUUUCCAGAUGCCCGAUCGUUGUGUAUUUCUUAAUCAAGCUUAACUGGACGGCAGUUCGGGUUUGAUAGUUGGUUACCUUUGCUCUCUCUAUUGUAGUUCUUUUGUUGUUAUUUAGACUCGGAUGUUGGUUUCAGCCUCACCCUGUGAUAGGAGAUACAAAAUAGGUUCUGAUUCUAUCAAAGUAGGAGCUUAAGGUGGGGGCUGUCUUGGUCUGGUUUUUGGACACUGACAAAUCCUUCAUGCUGUCAUUGAUAUAGUGUUAAUAGUGGGUGGUAAAUGGAGUACAUAAUAGUAUUUUUUUUCUACCACAUUUUCUCUUCUACCUAGAGUUUCCCGUGCUAAUAGUUGUACUCUUCAAUUUCCAGAUGUCUGAUUGUUGUGUGGUUCUUAACUGGAAGGCACUUCUGGUAUGCUUGGUUAUCUUUUGUCAGUUUCAACAAUCUUUUAUUUGUUACGUAGACGUGGAUAUUGUUUUCUGCCUCACCUUGUGACAGGAGUUAAAAAUUAAGUUGUGAAAGAAGCAGCUUAUGGUGGGGCUAAUCUUGGUCUAGUUACUGGAGACAUAUCAACCUUUGAUGCUGUCACUGAUAUAAUGUUUAUCGAGGGUGUCAGAGGGAGUAUAGUAUUGUAUUAAUUCUGCUACAAUUUAUCUUCCAUCUUGACUUUCCCGUGCUUAUUGUUAUUCUCUUCGAUUUCCAGAUGCCUGAUCGUUGUUUGGUUCUUAAUCAAGCUUAACUGGAAGGCAGUUCUGGGUUCAUAAUUGGUUGCAUUUGAUCUCUCUAUUAUAUUUCUUUUGUUGUUAUAUAGACUUGGAUAUUGUUUUGGGCCUACCCUGUGACAGGAGAUACAAAAUAGGUUUUGAUUCCAUCACUGUAGGAGCUUAAUGUGGGGGCUAUCUUGGUCUGGUUUUUGGACGCGGACAGAUCUUUGAUGUAGUCAGUGAUAUUGUGUUAAUCGAGGGUGGCAAAGGGAGUACAUAUUAGUAUUUUUAUUUCUACUACAUUUUCUCUUCUACCUAGAGUUUCCCGUGCUUAUAGAUAUACUCUUCAAUUUCCAGAUGUCUGAUCGUGGGGUGGUUCUUAGCUGGAUGACACUUCUGGUUUGAUGUUUGGUUAUCUUUUUUUCAGUUUCUACAAUUUUUGUUUGUUACAUAGAUGUGGAUAUUGUUUUCUGCCCCACCCUAUGACAUGAGAUAAAAAUUAAGUUUUAAUUUUAUCAAAGUAGGAGCUUAAGGUAGGGCUAAUCUUAGUCAAGUUAUUGCACACAAUUCAAUCCUUUGACGUGGUCAGUGAUAUAGUGUUUAUCGAGGGUGGCAGAGGGAGUAUAGUAUAGUAUUUCUUCUACUACAAUUUAUCUUCCAUCUAGACCUUCCGGUGCUUAUCGUUAUUCUCUUCCAUUUCCAGAUGCCCGAUCGUUGUGUGGUUCUUAGUCAAGCUUUACUGGACGGCAGUUCGGGUUUGAUAGUUGGUUACCUUUGCUCUCUCUAUUGUAGUUCUUUUGUUGUUAUUUAGACUCGGAUGUUGGUUUCAGCCUCACCCUGUGAUAGGAGAUACAAAAUAGGUUCUGAUUCUAUCAAAGUAGGAGCUUAAGGUGGGGGCUGUCUUGGUCUGGUUUUUGGACACUGACAAAUCCUUCAUGCUGUCAUUGAUAUAGUGUUAAUAGUGGUGGUAAAGGGAGUAUAUAAUAGUAUUUGUUUUCUACCAUAUUUUCUCUUCUACCUAGAGUUUCCCGUGCUAAUAGUUAUACUCUUCAUUUUCCAGAUGUCUGAUUGUUGUGUGGUUCUUAACUGGAAGGCACUUCUUGUAUGCUUGGUUAUCUUUUGUCAGUUUCAACAAUCUUUUAUUUGUUACGUAGACGUGGAUAUUGUUUUCUGCCUCACCUUGUGACAGGAGUUAAAAAUUAAGUUGUGAAAGAAGCAUCUUAUGUUGGGGCUAAUCUUGGUCUAGUUAUUGGAGACUUAUCAACUUUUGAUGCUGUCACUGAUAUAAUGUUUAUCGAGGGUGUCAGAGGGAGUAUAGUAUUGUAUUAAUUCUGCUACAAAUUAUCUUCCAACUUGACUUUCCCGUGCUUAUUGUUAUUCUCUUCAAUUUCCAGAUGCCUGAUCGUUGUGUGGUUCUUAAUCAAGCUUAACUGGAAGGCAGUUCUGGGUUCAUAUUUGGUUGCAUUUGAUCUCUCUAUUAUAUUUCUUUUGUUGUUAUAUAGACUUGGAUAUUGUUUUGGGCCUACCCUGCAACAGGAGAUACAAAAUAGGUUUUGAUUCCAUCACUGUAGAAGCUUAAUGUGGGGGCUAUCUUGGUCUGGUUUUUGGACGCGGACAGAUCUUUGAUGUUAUCAUUGGUAUAUUGUAAAUCGAGGGUGGCAAAGGAAAUACAUAAUAGUAUUUUUUUUUUCUACUACAUUUUCUCUUCUACCUAGAGUUUCCCGUGUUUAUAGUUAUACUCUUCAAUUUCCAUAAUGGAUGGCCCUUCUUGUUUUCUUGGUUAUCUUUUUUCAGUUUCAACAAUUUUUUGUUGUUAUGUAGACGUGGAUAUUGUUCUCUGCCUCACCCUAUGAUAGGAGAUAAAAAUUAAGUUUUGAAAGAAGGAGCUUAUGGUGUGGCUAAUGUUGGCCUGGUUAUUGAACACGGAUCUACCUUUGAUGCUGUCAUUGAUAUAGUGGUGUGGGCCUGGCAAAGAGAGUAUAGAAUAGUUUUUUUUUUUUACUAUAUUUUAUCUUCUACCUAGACUUUCCCAUGCUUACCGUUGUUCUCAUCAAUUUCCAGAUGCCUGAUCGCUGUGUGGUUUUUAAUCAAGCUUCACGGGAAGGCUGUUCUGGUUUGCUAAUUGGUCACCUUUGCUCUGUAAUUAUUGUUUAUUUGUUAUGUAGACUUGGACAAUGUUUUGGUCCUCACCCUGUGCCAGGAGACAAAAUAGGUUUUGAUUCUAUCAAAGUAGAAGCUUAAGGUGGGGGUUAUCUUGGUCUGGUUUUUGGAUAUGGACUAAUCUAUGAUGCCAUCAUUGAUAUAGUGUUUGUCGAGGGUGGCAGAUGGUGUACAGAAUAGUAUUUUUUUUUUUUUACGUUUUCUCUUUUACCUUGAGUUUCCUAUACUUAUCGUUAUACUCUUCAAUUUCCAGGUGUUCUUUACUUGAAGGCACUUCUGGUUUGAUGCUGGGUUUAUCUUUUCUCUCUAUCAUCAGUUUUUUUGUUUGUUACGUAUACGUGUAUAUUGUAUUUCUGCCUCAUCCUAUGGCAGAUGAUAAAAAUUUUGUUUUGAUUUUAUCAAAGUAGGAGCUCAAGGUGGGGCUAAUCUUGGUCUAGUUAUAUUGGCCACAGAUCAACCUUUGACGCUGUCAAUUAUAGUGUUUAUCGAGGAUGGCAGAGGGAGUAUAAUAUAGUAUUUUUUUCUACUACAAUUUAUCUUCCAUCUAGACUUUCCUGUGGUUAUUGUUAGUCUCUCUUCCAUUUCCAGAUGCCUGUUCAUUAUGUGGUUCUUAAUCAAGUUUAACUGGAAGGCAGUUCGGGUUUGAUAAUUGGUUAUCUUUGCUCUCUCAAUUAUGGUUCUUUUGCUGUUAUGUAGACUUGGAUGUUGUUUUCAGCCUCACCCUGUGACAGGAGAUACAAAAUAGGUUUUGAUUCUAUCAAAGUAGGAGCUUAAGGUGGGGGCUAUCUUGGUCUGGUUUUUGGACAUGGACAAAUCUUUGGUUGCUGUUUUGUUCUUAAUCAAGCUUCUCUGAAAGGCAGUUCUUGUUUGACGCUUGGUUGUCUGUGUUCUCUAUUAUAGUUUUUUUUUUUUUUUUUUUUUUUUUUUUUUUUUUGUUAUGUAGACUUUGAUAUUUUUUUCGCCCUCACCCUGUGACAGGAGAUACAAAUUCAGUUUUAUUCUAUCAAAGUGGGAGCUUAAGGUGGGGGCCAACUUGGUGGGGUUGUUGGAUGUGGACUAAUAUAAGAUGAUGUCAAUUGAUAUAAUGUUUAUUGAGGGAUGCAGAUUGUUAUACUACAUUUUCUUCUACUAUAUUUUCUCUUCUACCUAGAGUUUCCGGUGCUUGUCGUUAUACUCUUCAAUUUUCAGAUUUCUGAUCGUUGUGGUUCUUAAUUGGAAGGCUGUUCGGUUUGAUGCUUUGUUAUCUUUUUUCUCUUUCAUAAGUUUUUUGUUUGUUACGUUGGCGUGGAUAUUGUUUUCUGCAUCACCCUAUGACACAAAAUAUAAAUUAAGUUUUGAUUCUAUCAAAGUAGGAGCUUAUGGUGGUGCAAUCUUGGUCUGAUUGUUGGACACGGAGCAACCUUUGACACUGUCAUUGAUAUAGUGUUUAUCAAGGGUUGCAUAGGGAGUAUAGUAUUGUAACUUUUUUACUAAAUUUUAUAUUCUACCUAAACUUUCCCUUGCUUAUCGUUAUUCUUUUCAAUUUCCAGAUGCCGGAUCGUUGUGUGUUUAAUCAGGCUUCUCUGGAAGACUGUUCUGGUUUGAUCCUUGGUUAUCUUUGCUCUCUAUUAUAGUUUUAUUUUGUUACGUAGACUUGGACCUUGUUUUCUGCCUCACCCUGUGUCAGGAGAUACAAAAUUGGUUUUGAUUCCAUCAAAGUUAGGUAUUUAAGGUGAGGCUAUCUUGGAUGCUGCCAUUGGUAUAGUGUUUAUGGUGGGUGUCAACAGGAGUAUAUUAUUUUUCUACUGUCAUUUAUCUUCUAGGUGAACUUUUUCCCUUUGCUUAUUGUUAUGCUCUUUAAUCUUCAAAUGUUUGAUCUUUGGGUUGUAAUUAACCAGUUCUCGUGGGAAGGCGGUUCUGGUUUGGUGCUUGGUUCCCUUUUGCUCUGUUUAAUCUAUUUUUUGUUUGUUACGUACAUGUGUAUAUUGUUUUUGGUCCCACCCUUUGACAGGAGAUACAAAAUAAGUUUUGAUUCUACCAAAGUCGGAGCUUAAGGUGGGGCUAUCUUGGUCUGGUUGUUGGACGUGAAGCAUUGUAGAGGGAGUAUAAUAUUUUUCUACUGUCAUUGUCUUCUUCCUGGGCUUUCCCCUUGCUUAUUGUUUAUGCACUUCCAUUUCAGAUGGAUCUUUGUGUGGUUCUUCACCAUUUUUGAAGGAAAAGCGGUUCUGGUUUGGUGAUUGGUUCCCUUUUGUUCUAUUUGAUCAGUUUUUUGUUUGUUACAUAGAUGUGGAUAUUGUUUUUGGCCUCACCAUGUGACAGGAGAUGCAAAACAAGUUUUAAUUCAAGCAGAUAAGGAGCGUAAGGUGGGGCUAUGUUGGUCUGGUUAUUGGACAUGGACCAAUCUUUUGAUGCUGGCAUUGAGAUAGUGUUUAUAGAGGGUGGCAGAGAGGGAGUAUAGUAUUUUCCGCUGUCAUUGUUGGACUUUCCCCUUGCUUAUUGUUUUGCUCUUCAAUUUCCACAUGUCUGAUCUGUGGGUUUCUCUUAAAACAGUUUUCAAGUGAAGGCGUUCUGGUUUGAUGCUUGAACCCCCUUUUGCACUGCUUCGUCAGUUCUUUUUCUGUUAUGUGGAUGUGGAUAUUGUUUUUAGCCUCUCCCUGUGACAGGAGAUACAAAAUAAGUUUCUUAAGGUGGGGUUGUGUUGGUCAUUGAAUCCCAGCUCAUUGAAAUUUUUUGAUGGAUUAAGUAAUUUUGAGGUGUUUGAAAUACUGGUACCUCUUCAGUUCUGCUGAUGCCGAAUCCAAGCCUGGUAUCGGUGUCUUUGAUCCUGAUCUCAAUGGGGAUGUCUCCCAUAAGAGGGAGAAUCACAAACGCCAAGGUCCACGCUGUGGUAGUCUUUGAAUCCAUAGAGGCUUGUGUUAGCGAUAUUUGAGAGUCCGAUAAGGAUCCAGUGUUUACUGUCGAUGAGGCCGCGUCUCCGGAUAGUGUUUAUCGAGGGUGGCAGAGGGAGUAUAGUAUUUUUCUACAGCCAUUUAUCUUCUAGAUGGACUUUCCCCUUGCUAAUUGUUAUGCUCUUCAAUUUCCAGAUAUUUUCUUUGGGUGGUGCCUAAACAGUUUUAAAGGGAAGGCGGUUUUGGUUUGAUGUUUGGUUCCCUUUGCUCAAUUAAAUCAGCUUUUUGUUGUGGAUAUUGCUUUUUGUCUCGUCCUGUGACAGGGGAUCUUAAGAAGUUCUUGUUCUAGCAUUGUGUUAUUGGGGAUGUGAAUGCCAGAGGAUCAUUAGACUAGAGAGAGUUGAAACCAUUUUCUGGUGAUAUCAUGCAAUGCUGGGCUUAUCUUGAGCAUUUCAGGCUUUGGUUUUUUGUUCAUCUCCAUUUAUUUGACAUAUAACGCAUAGUUUUUGGCAAUUUGAUUGAAGUUUUGAGGAGAUUGUGCUAAUUUCUUCCUUGGUAAGGCUUUUGAUAAAUAAUUAGUCUGUAAUUUUCAUCAAGAUCUGAUUUAGUGGCUUUCAGUUGGAGCUAAAAGGUUUAUGUAGGGGACCAUGAGGUUGAAAGGGGUUUCAUGAGUCUUACAGGUCUGCAGGAAAAUUGGUUUUCUUUUAAAACCAUUCUAUGCUCUAUAUAUUUUUCUAUGGUUAUAUCGUGUUUAGUUUAUCUCCGGAACACACUCAUGCUGGCUAUCUACUGUCAUGGUCUUCUUCUUUUGAAAUUAUUCAACUCAGGUGUUCAACUUAUGUCUGGUUUCCUCGAUCACACGAAUGUGAGUUGUACCUAAGGCAGAUUGUGAGUUGUACUUGCCUGCUAAUAAAACCUGCUGGAUGAUAUUUUGGGUAGCUUCCUUUUAUCUUGCUCAUAAGGCUUUUAUUUGGUUAUGGUUGGUCUUCUAUAUUCUUGGAAGCGUCUGGAGCUCUGCUUAUAAAAUUUUGAUUGGGAGGGUGUUUCGUUUACAUGUGCCUAAGAUGGCGUAGCUUGUAUAUGAUGGGGUGUGAAGAUGGACAUGAAGUACCUCAUCUUGACUGUUCGUUGUGGAUAUACUCUUCUGCUUUCUUGUUUCUCUUGUCAUUAGAAUUUCUUUAGGUAUUAAUUCCAGAAACAUGUUUCGAAUCCUUAGAAAUGACAUUGUAUUUUUCUAGUGUCUUCAUCAUUCACUGCAAACUUGUUUUGAUUGGUGUAUAUUGUUGUUAUAUAUAUGAUGAUUAUUGAUUGGUUUUGUUUGUAAUCCAUCUCUUGAUUGAUGUCUUGGAAGUUGGAUGUUAUAUAAGUUAUGAACUUCUGUUAUAUAUCUAUAUACGAACAAUAUCAGGUGUUUAUAUUUCAAUAUUAGCAUGUUUAUGUUUAUGUGAUACAUAGUUGCUUCACUAUUUGGUGUGAUUCUGUGAGGUAGCGAGUGCUCUGUAUAGAAGAUAUCAUAUAAUUCCAUUUCUAUAUACAUUCAUAUCUUGUGGAAAUACGAUAGGGAAUAUGUUGGGGAGCUUUCUUUUGUAGAGAUCACUAGAUUGUUGCUUCCCUUCUUGCAAUGUACAAGUUCGAUUGAUGUUUAAAUAAUUCAAAUUAGUUGCUCCUCAUAUUUCCUGGUUACUACCCUCUCUUGGCAUUAAUGACAUGCUAUGUUCUCUAUAUUUAAUACAUUUAAGGAACAUAAAUAUUUAACUUGAAUGACAGCUGAUAAAAAUGCAACGAAGUUAUGCCACACCAUGUUUUCUAUGAUGAUAUUUUGAAUUUCUAACUAACUGUCAUCUAUGAGAGCAUUUCUUGUAGUGAUCACCCUAAACUUUUGAAUAUUUAACUAACUGUCGUGAUCAUAAUAACCGUCAUCUAUGAGAGCAUUUCUUGUAGUGAUAUUUAUCUUCCUUAAAUGUGUUAAAUAUAGAGAACAUAGCAUGUCUAAACUAAGUUAUGUCCCUUAUGUUGUUUAACAGUUAUACCUGUUCUUCAUUUUUGUUUUCGGUCUAGGUUGGACUCUCUUAACCUUUUCCCAAUUUUUAUGGUUGAGUCACUGCUAUUGUUUUGAGUCUUUUAUAUGCUAUUUUUACGGAUUUUCAUUUAUGAAAUCUAUUGAAGUGCAGUAAUGACUUGAUUGAAAAUGUCGUUCACUCCUGAGUCCUGACCAUGAAACUAGUAAUUUGACAUAUUUCUUGUGCUCCCGACGCGAUAAAACAUUUGGUCUAUGUUCUCUCAUUGCUGAAAUUAGUUUUUUCUUUGUGUUGCGCAGUUUCAUGUAAAUUGUCUAAACUAAGUUACUAAUCCUAUGUUUACAACCUUUUGUUAUUCGUCGAGCUUCAACUUUAUACCUGGGCUAAUUUAACCAUGAAACUAGUAAAAUUUUGCUGUUUGGUGUUUGUUGAAGUUUAUACUUGUUCCAGCUGGGUGAUUAUGUUGUUUCUUGUGUAAUCUUUCUGUUGCAAGUCUUAAAUUUGUUUCUUGGUCAUCUGAUUACUUGCAUUUUAGCGGUCAGUCAUUUAAAUUUAUGCUGAUUUCAUGUCCAUUGGUGGUUGAGCUCAUUUAAAUUUCAGCUUCUCCUUCCCCGGAUUAUAGGUUAUAGGUAGAGUCGUGUAACUCUGCCUGUGCCAGCCACAGCCGGUCUCAAGCCCGGGAAAAAGAGGAGGGGCGACCAAAUUAUGUAGUUUUGGUGAUUCUCAAGGAUUAUUGCUGUAUUAUAUUUACAUACCUCUGAAUCUAAUCCAGAGCUCGUCAAGAUUCUACCAACUUCUCUCAAGGCUCUGCGAAGUUCGAGACUGGUGAUUCCGUCAAGGCCCUUAGCUUCUUGUGGAUUCACAUUGGUCCAAGACAGAAGUCACCAAGCAACAAUGCUCUUGAUGUUAGCAAAGUCUUCAACAAUUUUGUGAUCGUCACUUCCCGUAUGGAGGUUGUAAUCUAGUUUCAUCAUGAUUGUUUCUAAGUUAAUGAAUGUAGGGAGUUUCUGAUUUCAUUAAUCAUCAUCAUUUAAUAAUACGAUUCGUUCCAAGCUGA